rnacentral:lncRNA from 1 species
ACAUGAGCAUGUGUGUGUUCCGCCUAGAUUCUUAAUGUGUUCUCCAAUCUGAAUCUUCACACAAUUUGGUGAUGGUGGAAAAAAUAUUCUUUACAUCUUGCCAACAGGGUAGCAAGAUUUGUACGAAGAGGACUUUAAGUCCAACAAUUUCUCUCCUCACAAGUGUCGACCCAAAUCAAUAAGAAGGAAUCGGUACUGCCUUAAUCUCCAUGAACUGAUUCUUUAAUCUCUCCCAAAGCCCAUCUCAUCCACUGUCUAUCUUUUGCAGUUUUCUUUUGCACGUUACAUGCAGUGUUUUAAAUAGCGGGAUAUGCCAUGUAGGCGAAGAGCAUGCUGCCACCUCCUGAAUAACUAUGAUGCGCCUCAGCCUGUCCAUUGCCCUCACUGCACCCUUACCACCUCCAGCCAUCUGCUGAGCACGUACCUCAGUGCUUAGCAACGUCUUCUUGGAAGAAAAUGACCACAUCACUACCAUGAAGACCGGCAAUUAGAAGUCGAUGGUUUGCUUCAAUUUCG